GCGAAGGUGGCGGAAUUGGCAGACGCACUAGACUUAGGAUCUAGCGGGCGACCGUGGGGGUUCGAGUCCCCCCCCUCGCACCA
rnacentral:tRNA from 1 species